AAGGAAAAUUUCACCACAAGUCCGUUAAAAUGAGUUUUUAGCCACUGUGCCUUCUUCAACUUUAGCAUUCUUCCAAGAAAUGCACAGCUCUUGGCAAGCACUGCCAAAACAGAGAUCUGGGGCUCAAUGCCCUCACCAAGCAGAUUAUGUAUUGCAUUGAUCUGCUGCUGCUAAGUUAACAAAUUUCACAUCACAUGCCGAUGACAAUAAACCUGAUUCCUGAUUGCUGUUUCUUGCAACAUGCCCCAGGACAAGUUCUUUCCUGAAGGUGCAGGCCUUUAGAUGAUUGGCGAGGCUGAGCACUGCUUCUGACCUUGCCCAUCAUGCAGUAUGACCCAUCCUGCAUUUCACCAUAGGCAACACCAAACUGGAGGAGGAAAAUGAAGAUUCAAAGGGUCAGGGGAGGCUGGAGAAGAUUGGAAAUAGGGCAAGCAAAGAAGAUGGGGGGAGGAGGUUUGGGGAAGGUGGAGAAGAUGACUGGGAAAGAUGGAGGAAAGAACUGGGGAAUUGAAGGGGAGGACUGUAGAAGAUGGAGAAUUGGGGAAGAUAAAAAGGAGGACAGCAGAAGACAAAAGGCUCAUGAAGUUCCAGAGGGUGGACGUCAGGAUAUCAAGAGAACUUAGAUUGGGUUGGCAAGCUGGAGCAACACGCAAGGAUCACGAUGAGGUAGAGUGAGAGCUCGAGUCCGUUCUUAUUAUACAAGUGAUCUCCUCAAAAGAACUAUAACAGUGGGUUAGAAACUGUCCUCGAGACUGAUGGUGUGUCUUUUCACCUUUUGUAUCUUCUACUCGACGGGAUGGUGGAGAAGAGAGUAUGGCUGAGGAGUGACGGAUCAUUACUGAGCUAACAGUCGGCCCUUCAUGGAUACAGUGGCAUGAAAACGUUUGGGCACCUUGGUCAAAAUUUCUGUUACUGUGAAUAGUUAGCUGUCUGAGGUAUCCAUCUGCUUCAAGCAGGCUUCAAUCAUACUGGUGCCCAAGAAGGUGAUAACCUGCCUCGAUGGCUAUCCUCCAGCAGCACUUAGAUGCAAUGUGAUGAAAUUGCUGAAAAUUGCUGUGAGAAAUCCUGAAGCACAUCAGCUCUUGCCUGAAGAGUGACCAGGUCUACUCCAAUUUGCCUACCAUCGCAACAGGUCAACAGCAGAUGCCAUUUCAUUGGCCCUUCACUCAGCUUUGGAACAACUGAACAACUAAGGUGCAUACACCAAGAUGAUCUUCCUUGAUCAGAGCUCCACAUUCAACACUAUCAUCCUCAAAAUUAAUCACUAAGCUGCAAGACCUGGGCUUCAAUAUCUCCCUGUGCAACUAGAUCCUUGAUUUCGUCACUUGCAGACCCCAAUCAGAUUGGAUUGGCCACAAUCAAUGUCAGCACAGGAGAGUCACAGGGCUGCUUGCUGUUCUACUCACAUUAUACCUUAAUUGUGUGCCUAAGUACGGCUCCAAUGCCAUAUUCAAGUUUGUUGAUGACACUACUGUUAUUGGCCAAACCAAAGGUGGUGAUGAAUAAGCAUGUAAAAGGGAAAUGGAAACCUGGAUCAAACGGUGCCAAAACAACAACCUCUCACUCAACGCCAGCAAAACCAAAGAGCUGAUUAUCGACCACAGGAGGAGGAAGCUGGAGGUCCAUGAGGCAGCCCUCAGUAGGGGAUCAGAGGUGGAGAGUGUCAGUAGCUUUAAAUUCUUUGGUGUUAGUAUAUCAGAGGGUCUGUCCGAGGGCCAUCAUGGCAGCUCCUCUGCCUUCUUAGAUUUUUAUGUAGAUUCGGCAUGUUACCACAACCUUCAAUAGAUACACAGUGGAGAGCAUCCUACCUGAUCGGAUUGCAGUCUGGUAAGGAAACAGCAAUGCCCAGGAAUGGAAAAGCCUACAGAUAUUGGUGGAUACAGCCCAAUCCAGCACAGGCAACACCUUUCCCGCCAUUGGGCACGUUUACAAGGAGUACUGCCACAGGAAAACAGCACCCAACAUCAAGCACUCCCAUCAUCCAGGUCACGCUCACUUCUCACUCCUACCAUUGUGACAAAGGUGCAGAAAAUUUGGUUCAGGAAUGGUUACUACACUACAGCCAUCGGACUCCUGAACCAAUGGGGGUAAUUUCACUCACCUCAGCUCUGAACUGAUUCCUUAACCUGCAGACAUGCUUCCAAAGACUCUACACUCAUGUUCGCAGUAUUAUUAUGUUCUUUAUUUGCAAAAUUUGCUCUCGUCUGCUCUUUGGUUGUUUGUCAGUCUUUGUUUAUGAUUAGUUUUUCAGAAAUUCUAUUGUAUUUCUUUAUUCCUGUAAAUACCUGCAAGAAGAUGAAUAUUGAGAUAGUAUAUGGUGACAUAUUUGCACUUUGAUGAUAAAUUUACUUUGAUUUUUGGUUUACUUUUAUAUAUGUAACCCCCUGGGUCGCCUCAGGCUCGCUCAGCUCAUUCCCGUCUAGGGGGAGCAGCCUUCGGCCCCACCAAACUGGGUAAUCAGCUGGUGUGGAUGCUGUGUGAUGUCCCCGCCUCGCCCAAAACCAGACAGUACACCAUAAGCGAUUAAAUGAGUACAAUUUAUAAAGGUUACUAUAACUAAGUGAUUAAUAACGAUACAGUAUAUAUGAAGAGAAAAAAUAAGAAAAGGCGCCAAACUUAUCAAAGUCCAAACCACUUCGUGCACAGCCGUUGGAGCUCAAUUACUGAAGUCUUCUGGCCACCAUUCGAUCCCCUCCGAACUCCUCGACUCGCAGUUCAGGACCCUCCAAGUGGUCAACCAAGCACAUCUAGCUUCAUCUCCUCUCCUCGGAGUACCUCCCGGCCUCGGACCCCCGCUUGGGGUCCGAUCCUCGCCCAGCUUACAGCAUUGCGUCCUCACUCUCAAACCCCUUCACGCCGAUCUCCCCAAAAGCCCGCCAAUGAAAGCUUACAGACUCAGAAGAAAGAACAUUAAUCCCCAUUUGGUUUACAAAGGAAUACCAUUCUCCCAGCACUCUCUCGCAACAAAGAAGCAUUCCUGCUAGUUAACAAAACAAUAGAAGCCCUUUUGAUUACAUACACAGUAACAAAGAAAAAAAGAAAAAAAACCCUUUACAUAUACUAUCAUAAUGCAUUUAUAACAGCACUGAAGCUGAGUAACACAGUGGGCCUACAGCCACUGGAGUCAUGGACCUAUCAUCAGAAUAUUGGGUGGUACUGAAGUGGUCAGGACGAAGCAUGAUCAAAAGGCACAUUUUUGGC